rnacentral:rRNA from 1 species
UACGUAGGAGGCGAGCGUUGUCCGGAGUUACUGGGCGUAAAGGGUGCGCAGGCGGUGGUGCGCGUGGAUAGAUGGAAAUCUCCCGGGCUUACCUGGGAGGGUGGUAUCCAGACGGCGAUCACUUGAGGGUCGGAGGAGGGGCGUGGAAUUCCGGGUGGAGCGGUGAAAUGCGUAGAGAUCGGCAGGAACACCCAGGGGGAAACCAGCCGACUGGGCAUCUACUGACGCUGAUGUGCGAGAGCGUGGGGAGCGAACCGG